UACGUAGGGUGCAAGCGUUAAUCGGAAUUACUGGGCGUAAAGCGUGCGCAGGCGGUUUUGUAAGUCUGUCGUGAAAUCCCCGGGCUCAACCUGGGAAUGGCAUUUGUGACUGGAAGGCUAGAGUGUGUCAGAGGGGGGUAGAAUUCCACGUGUAGCAGUGAAAUGCGUAGAGAUGUGGAGGAACACCGAUGGCGAAGGCAGCCCCCUGGGUCAAGAUUGACGCUCAUGCACGAAAGCGUGGGGAGCAAACAGG
rnacentral:rRNA from 1 species